UCAUUUACAUUUCUUCAGUGAAAAAUUCACAAUAUCUCCCUUCGUAUUUAAUAAAAAUCUUGGGGGAGAUAAUUUGAGGCUGUAUGAAUACCUUAUUUUUCCUCAAACCUUUGCCCACUAAUUUUAGAAAUCAUCGGUUGAUCUUGCCUGCAACAAGUAUGAUCAUAUGAUUCUAAUAGUAAUUUCCUAGUUGCUUCAUUCCAUCUAUAUUUAUUUGUUGACAUUUUUCUGUAAAAAGAGCUGUCCUUCUCCAUUGACUUAUUCAAUUAUGUAUUGGUAUCAUUUUGGACUCAUGGACACUCAUUACAAUCCAAUACUCUCAUUAUUUAUUUUGUCAUUUAAAUUGUUCCUCUUUGGAUAUUGGAAGCCCUUUCAAGUCCUUUGAUAGGCCUCCCUCAUUAUUUUGGAGCACUUCCCUACUUUCUGGCACCUUGAGAUGUUACAGACUCAUAUUUUGUUUUCUCUAUCAUAGUCCUGGAAUUGAUCAUGUCUCCCGGAAGCCCUGGUUCCUUUAUUGGAGAAUGGUAUUUGCAACCCAAGAUCUGGGUGCUUAGAUGUACGUAUCAUCCCUGGGAUGUCGUCUCACAAGACCAAGCUAGGAAAUAUGCCAAUGCAUUCAUACACACUCAUAUAUUUAUUUCCUACUAUAUCAGAAAUCCAUCCAUUUCUUUGGGUACAUAUUUAAAAACCACGAAUUUCCACCAGUACCUCCAAUUCCAACCCCAAAUCUUGGGGUUCCUUUAGCCUCCCUUCUUUCCUGAUACUGUUAACAUUUUUCUCUGACAGCGAGAAAACUAGCUCUCAUUUAUCCACGAUAUAUUUGCCUAUUUCCUCAAGCCUGGCAUAAAAAUAGGAAGUUGUCACCCAUCUGCUUCUUUCUCUUUCCUAGGAGUUUCCAGAAAAAGUUCCAAGACAGGUUCUUACUAGGUUGGUUCUAUGCUCAACCUUGACCCAUUUACCGUGGCCCAAGGAAUGGAAUGACCUGACGAGUCUGGCCUGAGCUACAUGACCACUCCUGAGCGUGGGUGGGGGUGACUGUCCAUCUAAACCAUGAAUAAAUUCCAUGACAUGGCCUCGAGAUUCUGCUUGCUUCCAACAGGCUACUCUACCCAGGACCUGAGAGGCUGCCACAAGGACGCCCCAUGAGAUAGGAGGGGCCAGUCGAGCCCUCUUGACCUGUUGCCUGCAGAUUUCGAGAUCACUUAUUUAUGUUGCUGAUCAACAGCUAUAACUUAAAGCUUCUAGACAGUAGAAAAACUUCAAAAUUCAAUCUGUUUUUGCAAAAUUGGAAAGCCACAGGAAACGUAUAAACCAAAGUUUGACUGGAACUUGCAACAAGUACUCAGUCCCUCCGUGGGAGCACCAUAGAAGAGCAGAGACCCCGGCUUCUGAGCCAGAUGACAGAUGCUUCCCCUGCCCCAGCUGGUGGUUGUGCUUGUCACUGACUACUUGGGUGAUUCCUGCCGUUUGUAUGCUUCUCCGGCUGUGUGGGAGACACACUUCACCUUGUGGCUCCGUUCUACAAAGGUUCCGUUUGCCGCCUGGAAGAGCAGUCGACUGUGCCGAUCGGGAACGUCUCAUCGCACCCCUUUUCCACGCCAUCUGUCUGACCUGGACCCAUUCCAAACACUAUGGCUUUGCUGGCAGAAUGGUCUUCCUGCUACAGAAGUUUUGUAAUCUGCUAAUUGACAGGGCAUCCCGUUUGUGCGCGAUCACGCACUCUCCCCUGUGUUCUCUGCCUCAUUGAGAAUAUGGCAUCCUUUGGAGAAGAACACCGAUAUGAUCUACCAGAGAAUUAUCCUCUACUUAGUUUACUCAUUAAGCAAUGAUUUUAUUAUUAUUAUCUCUUUGUAGCAUGAGACAGAUGGCAAAGAAGGAGUUUGCUUUGCUGAACGAGAUGCAGUGUUGGGCAUAGCAAAUCUCCCGCAUGGUUAGUAUCUUGGGUCAUCAUUCUGCCUAAAGAAUGUCUUUGCUUUUGUACAAGGAGUGGUCCUACACUCCCCUUUUAAUUUUAAUGCAAAAUUGUUAUCAGUCCUUUGUGCACAGAGGCUAAGGGGAGAAGAAUCUGAGAGAAGGCAAUACCAUUAAAAUCAUGCUGUUCAAGUUCA